CAACCCAUUUAUUUCUUUUUAUUGCAUCAGCUAUGUUGGUCCGUAAAAAUGUAUUAGUCUUGUUAAUUGUACCUAUAAUAUUAUGACUGGGCACAAGCGGAAGUCCAGAGUCAUGUGACCCAGUAGGGGAAGUCUUUAAGUAGGCCCACAUCCUUCUCAGGUGAGGAGUGGUGUGGUGCAGUGGCUAGACUGAGGCCUAUAUGGGACGUGGGACCUUGACCUGGUUGUUGCGGAACUUGUAUAUCUUUUAAAUAUCUGAGCUCAAAAUAAAGGUAAAGAAAAGAG